rnacentral:lncRNA from 1 species
AUCCCGGUUCACUCUUCGAGGACACAAGGCCUGAUCCUCUUGACUGCGACUUGGUGGGUGAUCUGGACAGACAGAAACAACGUCAUUUUUCGCGGAAUCACGCAGAAUGCUACCCGGUCUCUUGAACGUGUCAAACUUUUGCUAAACGACUGGAACUCUUUGCGGUGAUGUGACGAUUGGGCUUCAGCUCCAAUCCCUCCUCUUCUUACUAACACCCCCCUUUUUUCUCUUUUGUUUUGUUUUUCACUUUUCGCCUGUUCUCUGGGAGGCCCUGGCUAUCUCCAUAUUGUACGCUUAGUUCAUUUUACCUAAUGAAUGAAGCAGGUAGCUUGCUACCUAUUUCUCAAAAAAAAAGAUAUAUACUGCACGACUUGAACGUUGCAUCGAAC